AUGCUAAAAUCUAUCUAGACACUACUUGAUUUUAUGACAUACCAUGAUUAUGAAUCUAGUAAUGGAUGUAAAAACUAUCUUCUUGAAUGACUAUCUUGAGAAAGAUAUCUAUAUGGAGCAGUCUUUUGGGUUUCACUUCCAAUGAUGGACAUCACAAGAUGAGCAAGCUGCAAUAGAUUGAAAUAAGCAUCUUAGAGUUGGAAUAUUUGAUGUAAUCAAAUUGUUUGAUUUCCUCAG
rnacentral:lncRNA from 1 species